UCCUCCUCCACCCCGCGCUCUUUUCCCCAAAACCAACCACCACCCCCGCCACCUCGCCGGAAAACAACAAAUCCGCCGUCGCCCGCUGCCACCGCACCACCUCGCGGGAACCCUACCUGAAGCAGAAUCCGGCCAGCCUAUCCGCCUUUCUGCACUCCCAGUCCCUCUCCGCCACGCCCAAGCAUCCCCCGAGGAACCCGCGCUCGUCUUCUUGGUCGGUGGCUCGGUGGUAAUGGCCAAAAAGAAGAAGGCGGCCCGGAACCGGGGCAGGAAUCGUGCGGGCAUGGAGGCGGAGACGGAGGGUUCAGCUGGGCGCGCGCCCCACUUCCACGGACACGGCGCCCCCUUUGACGUCCGCCGCGGCCAAGAAAACGGAGCCCACCCUGGGGGCGCCCGCGCCGGCCAAGAAGCUAUCCCGCCCCAUGGCACAGCACAGAAGAUUGUUGAGCUCCUACGCCGGGCAGAGGCUUUCCUGGGGAGGAACGGCAGCGCCGGCGACGAUACGUCGGACGCCUCCAGCAGCGCCGGCAAUGGCGGCGUGGAGGCUCUGGUGGGCGAACGCUCGCGGGAUCAGCUUCGUGGGCACCAAGGCAAUCACCCACCGCCCAAGCAUCCUACACGGGGUCAGGCUAUUCUGUACACCUUUGGCAACCUGGACAUGAAUAAGAGACACUCUGCCGAGAAGGAAGCGCCCUGAUGUUUUCCUCCGGCUCCUAUUUAUCCAGUUGACAAGGAUGAAGAUCCUUACCAGAAUGAGAGGAGGUAUGAAGAGUUUUGUGAAGCUAGAAUGAAGCUUCCACUCGGAUAUGAGUUGUGCACUGUAUGUUUUUUUUAAGAGCCCUGGAGACAUGGAAAUGCAGUAGUACGUUCUGGGAAUAUGCUCUAUCAUUUCAAUUGCCACAACACUCCAGGUGUCAAAUGUGGUGAAGAAUUAUGUACGGUUAGGUUCCGCAGCUGUGAACGUCAGCAGUUAUACAGAUCCUAUUGCACAAGUAUUUGGGAGACCAAGCCAGAGUUGCGGUAUGACAGGUUUUGUCGAGGUAGGGUGUAGUACAAUCUGUUGGGAAGAUUUGCAGCAGCUAAAGGUGUCUGCAAGUAUGGCCUGAGAUUGAAGAACCACAUGGUGUGCUAAUAAAAGCUACAAAGAGAUGAACUAUUGUAUGCUUUUGUUGGAUGAUGGGUUGACAUGUCGUGUGAGAGUGAUGUCAAACGACAAACUGUGAGCCUAGUGCGAUCAUGUUGUUGAGAAAAUGGUUUUCUUGGAUGAUGUUCUGCAACUACUGUGGAAGUUAUCUUUACUUUGAUCGAUCGAAAUGUGUUUGCUAGAAUGUUAUUCACAUGGGAGGAGAUGGUAACAAGCGUCGGUUUGAUCAUGGUGACAUUCACUUAUUGGUUAUGAGUUUUACAUGUGUAUCACGUGGUCACAGUUUACCGUAGGUUUGACUGUUUCUAGGAGAGUUGUUGAGGAUGGGUAUUUCUGUUUAAGGUCAGCUUGGGGCGAAACCUGCAGGACGUGGUAAGAAGUGCCAAGGAAGUAUCCUGUGUUUUCUUUACUGAUCAUCCAUUCAUCCUGAUGCCGUCCUGUGGACAUGUGGUAGCAUGUGAUUCUGUUUAAAAUCCCAGGAGGUGUCUUCUCCUCAGUUUCGUUUGGAAUAAUCAGAAGAUCACAUUUUUUUUCCGGUGUCUGCUGGCUUGAUAUGUGGAAAGCCAUCCAGUCUUAGUGAAUUGUUCGAGCGCUGGGUGAAUGGUUUCAGCAACAUAACUCAAAAACCAGUAUUGGUUGGGAUUUCAGUGGUUUGUAGGGGCUAUGUGGAACUGGGACACAAGAAAUGUCUUACUGUCAGCAUAUUUUAUACUCCCUCCGUUCCUAAAUACUUCUUUCUAGAGAUUUCAACAAGUGACUACAUACGGCGCAAAAUGAGUGAAUCUACAUUUUAAAAUAUGUCUACAUGCAUCCGUAUGUUGAGUCCAUUUGAAAUGCCUAGAAAGACAAGUAUUUGGGAACGGAGGGAGUACCUAAUUAUCCUAACACCGUCGUUCACUGUGUUUUCAGAUCAAUGCAUGCUUUGUAGGAGGAGCAAAUCAAUGAGAAGCCGCUGCUGAGAAUUUGGUGUGUGUGUUUGUUGGAUGGCAUCGACAGAUGCUUUCAAAAGAUGGGCUCCGGUGGCGAUGAGGAAACUUUGAGUUGGAUGACAGAAUUUUCGUACCUGCCCCACUUGUUUUCUUCCCCAUGUUCUUGUCGCAAUUUCAAUGAAUAUUACACCCUUCGAUCCAAAAUAAGUGCGCAGUUUCAAACUAAGAGUUAGUUGAACCUUAGUUUGAAACUGCGACACUUAUUACGGAUCGGAGGGAGUACUAUUUUGUCAAUGUUUCGCAUCUAACCUGAACUUGGUUUAGCUUCUGUAGGCUUGUCUGUCUGAUGCCUUCAUGUCGCUGUGAACUGAAGCUUGUUCUUUAUACGAGAAGAAGCAAGAAAAUAUGCCGACAGACAUUUGGAUUUCCUCCAUAGAUUUCAGAAUAGUAAUGGACCAUAAGUAGUCGUGUUCCCUACCGUCGGUAGACUGCUGAAGGAGCAAUGGUUAGCCUUGCAAGGGCGAUUCUGAGUUGCUUCUCCUCAAAAGACCGCUACUAGGAAGAAUAUAAACCCAAGGAAGAAACAGGCACGAAGAUAGCUCAUAUUCUGCCAAAUAGGAGCGAUGUGUCUCAAGAUGAAACUAGUAGAUAUGUCGAAACAAUAUACUCCCUCUGUCCCAUAAUAUAAGAGCAUUUUUUACACUAAUACGCUCUUAUAUUAUGUAUUUUAAGUAUCUUCUCUAGUGCUGCUUCUUGCUUGGUUCAUGUCUGAACUUUCCAUCGACAGAGGUUUUUG